ensembl:lncRNA
GGACCAAAGGCGGAGGAGGGAGCGGGGAGCUGGGAUGGAAACCAGAUGCGCUCGCCGUGCGCAAAGGGCGUGCACACGCGUGCGCCGGAGCGUGUGUGUACCCUGACGGUUGGCGGGUUCGUCUACUUCUGUGAGCCCACGUGCGCCGGUGGAGUGUACUUGAGAUCGGGCGUGCCUAUGAGGAAACUGAGGCUCAGAGAGUCUUUUAAAGUAACAUUCCUACAGCUGCCAGCUUUGUGUAUGGCGGGACCAUGGCCGCAGCCCAGUUCAGAGGGCCAAGGAGUGCUUUCACCACCAAGCCCAUCACUGCACAGGGUGGGGAAACAGGGCUUGAGAGCCACCCCCGGUCUUGCUGGGAGUGGGCUGGAGUGACACUCCUUGAACACCCCCCAUGUGCCCGUCAGAGAGCCUGGCGCCUCCCACUCCACCAGUUCCCCGUGACGGUGGAAUGAGGUUCGCUGCGUGCCACACUCUGGAAACUCUAAAGUGCCCUCUGGCCUCAGAGGUCCUUGUUAACCACGCAACCCUCACCCGCUUCAUUCAUAGCCUGACUGACAGAGGGGGCCUGAGAGUUCAGGGGCAACAGGGACACCUGGAGAACUUGUUACCAUGCAGAUGGUCGCGCCUAGCCCCACAGAUUCUGAUUCCGUUGGUUGGGGCCAGGCCAGGGACUAUGCAUUUCUGACAACGGCCCAGGCUGGCUGCUGGGAGGUUAGAAGGUGGCACUUUAAGAUGCACUGUGAUAGAGGGACUAACAACGUCAGGAGGAAGGCACAGAGACCCUCUGGUGGCCUAAGUCUCAGCUAAUGAAAGUUAAGACUUUCUUCUCAGAAAAAUGCUCUAACCCACCUCCUCCAAGAUUUUGCACAGUUUCAGGCGGUUCCUGGAUCCUUGAAGGCCAACCGGGGAUCCCUGACCCCAACGUAAGAGCCGUCCCCUGGUCUAACUGCCAGGCCACCUCUGCCGUGAAGCCUCCCCAGACCUCUUGACAAAGUCGCCUCUCUGUGCUCCCACAGUGCCUAGUGAGGACUUUACUGCACCAGGGUGACUGUUCACAUAUUCGCCUCCCCUCCUGGACUGCAGGACUCGUGGCAGUCACCUUCCUCCUCCUUCCCGGCACGUGGUACGAUCCUACCUCCCUCUGAGAUUGGGUAUAACAUGCGAUUUACCAUAGCUGACGAAUGCUGGCCGUACAAACUUUACGAAUCUGUGUGGUUCACCGUAUUCUCUUCACCAGUGAUCUGGGAAAUGCGUAUCAAGUGGAGGGGCCGCCAGCUGCUGUCCCUAAGGACUGGGUGAACAGAACUCCUGUCCGCCUGUGUUGGACACACAGCGUGAGUGGACCCUGAGCCUUUGUGGUGCUAAGUACUGGGCUGUUUGUUACUGCAGCAUAACCCGGCUUGUCCUGACUGCCCAGGUGCUUUGAAGGCAGAGCCCGUCGCCCACUGAACUUUGGGUCUCCACUUCCCAGCACAGGCUGGCACAGAGGAGGUGCUCAGAAAUCACACCAGCUACCAUUUAUGAAGACCUGGCUGAGUGCCAGGUGCUGUUCCCUGUUAUGUCAUCUAGUGCUGUCCUCCCAGGUCAGCUGUGACGUGUGACAUGCUCCACACAGUCCCGGCACAGAGGAAGUGCUCGGUAACGGUAGCUGUUAUUUUUUAUUAUGAUGCUUCUCUGCCUCAGACAAAAGCUGUUUGAAAGAACAAAUGAAUGGAGAAGGGUGGAGUGAACUGGAGGCUGACAUGAGGGAUCUGGGGGGCAUAUUGGGAGCCAAAAAGCAAGCUUGGCACUUUAUUCCUGUGUCUCCAACCAGUCCUGGAGGUCAGCUUCCAUCCACUGAGCGCCCUCGCGUGCCUGGUUCUGUGCGAGAUGCUCUCCACACAUCAGCUUCCUUAAACCUCACGCAACCC